ensembl:rRNA 5S_rRNA 5S ribosomal RNA
GCCAGAGCCAUAUCUCCCUGUAGUUCUUACCUGAUUUCCCACUGAAGCUGAGCAGGGUUGAGCCUGGCUAGUACCUGGAUGGGAGACCUCCUGGGGAAAACUAAGGUUGCGGCUGGAA